rfam:Ciona savignyi cont_63365, whole genome shotgun sequence.
AUCGCUUCUCGGCUCUUUUGAGCUAAGAUCAAGUGUAGUAUCUGUUCUUCUCCAGUUUAAUACCUGGGACGGAAACGAUUCGUUUCCUCUAUGUAUUAAUCGGAUUUUUGAACUUGGAGUAUGGUGCUGGAGCUUGCUCCACCCUGCUCACGGGUUGUCCUGGUAUUGCAGUACCUCCAGGUUCGGCUCACGUUUC